AUUGAACGCUGGCGGCAGGCCUAACACAUGCAAGUCGAACGAGCGGCGGACGGGUGAGUAAUGUCUGGGAAACUGCCUGAUGGAGGGGGAUCACUACUGGAAACGGUAGCUAAUACCGCAUAACAUCAGAUGUGCCCAAAUGGGAUUGGCUAGUUGGUGGGGUAACGGCUCACCAAGGCGACGAUCCCUAGCUGGUCUGAGAGGAUGAUCGGCCACACGGGUACUGAGACACGGUCCAGACUCCUAGGGGAGGCAGCAGUGGGGAAUAUUGCACAAUGGGCGCAAGCCUGAUGCAGCCAUGCCGCGUGUAUGAAGAAGGCCUUCGGGUUGUAAAGUACUUUCAGCGGGGAGGCGUUACCCGCAGAAGAAGCACCGGCUAACUCCGUGCCAGCAGCCGCGGUAAUAC
rnacentral:rRNA from 1 species